rnacentral:rRNA from 1 species
GACGAACGCUGGCGGCGUGCUUAACACAUGCAAGUCGAACGGAAAGGCCCUGCUUUUGUGGGGUGCUCGAGUGGCGAACGGGUGAGUAACACGUGAGUAACCUGCCCUUGACUUUGGGAUAACUUCAGGAAACUGGGGCUAAUACCGGAUAGGAGCUCCUGCUGCAUGGUGGGGGUUGGAAAGUUUCGGCGGUUGGGGAUGGACUCGCGGCUUAUCAGCUUGUUGGUGGGGUAGUGGCUUACCAAGGCUUUGACGGGUAGCCGGCCUGAGAGGGUGACCGGCAACAUUGGGACUGAGAUAAGGCCCAGACUCCUACGGGAGGCAGCAGUGGGGAAUAUUGCACAAUGGGCGGAAGCCUGAUGCAGCAACGCCGCGUGCGGGAUGACGGCCUUCGGGUUGUAAACCGCUUUCGCCUGUGACGAAGAGUGAGUGACGGUAAUGGGUAAAGAAGCACCGGCUAACUACGUG